UCGGUCAUCGAUGGGGAUGCGUUCCAUUAGCUUGUUGGCGGGGUAACGGCCCACCAAGGCAUCGAUGGAUAGGGGUUCUGAGAGGAAGGUCCCCCACAUUGGAACUGAGACACGGUCCAAACUCCUACGGGAGGCAGCAGUGAGGAAUAUUGGUCAAUGGGCGCUAGCCUGAACCAGCCAAGUAGCGUGAAGGAUGACUGCCCUAUGGGUUGUAAACUUCUUUUAUAUGGGAAUAAAGUGCAGUAUGUAUACUGCUUUGCAUGUACCUUAUGAAUAAGGAUCGGCUAACUCCGUGCCAGCAGCCGCGGUAAUACGGAGGAUCCGAGCGUUAUCCGGAUUUAUUGGGUUUAAAGGGAGCGUAGGCGGGUUGUUAAGUCAGUUGUGAAAGUUUGCGGCUCGACCGUAAAAUUGCAGUUGAUACUGGCAUCCUUGAGUACAGUAGAGGUAGGCGGAAUUCGUGGUGUAGCGGUGAAAUGCUUAGAUAUCACGAAGAACUCCGAUUGCGAAGGCAGCCUGCUGGACUGUAACUGACGCUGAUGCUCGAAAGUGUGGGUAUCAAACAGGAUUAGAUACCCUGGUAGUCCACACAGUAAA
rnacentral:rRNA from 1 species